UUCGAUUCUGGCGUCAGGAUGAACGCUGGCGGCGUGCCUAACACAUGCAAGUCGAACGAAGCACUUAGACAGAACCUUCGGGUGACGUAUGGUGACUGAGUGGCGGACGGGUGAGUAACGCGUGGGUAACCUGCCCUGUACAGGGGGAUAACAGUUAGAAAUGACUGCUAAUACCGCAUAAGCGCACGAUGGUAGCAUUACCAGGUGUGAAAAACUCCGGUGGUACAGGAUGGGCCCGCGUCUGAUUAGCUUGUUGGCGGGGUAAGAGCCCACCAAGGCGACGAUCAGUAGCCGGUCUGAGAGGAUGAACGGCCACAUUGGAACUGAGACACGGUCCAAACUCCUACGGGAGGCAGCAGUGGGGAAUAUUGCACAAUGGGGGGAACCCUGAUGCAGCAAACCGCCGCGUGAGUGAAGAAGUAUUUCGGUAUGUAAAGCUCUAUCAGCAGGGAAGAUAAUGACGGUACCUGACUAAGAAGCUCCGGCUAAAUACGUGCCAGCCGCUGC
rnacentral:rRNA from 1 species